rnacentral:rRNA from 1 species
UACGGAGGAUCCAAGCGUUAUCCGGAUUUAUUGGGUUUAAAGGGCGCGUAGGCGGCCUAUUAAGUCAGGGGUGAAAGACGGCAGCUCAACUGUCGCAGUGCCUUUGAUACUGAUGGGCUUGAAUGCUAUUGAAGAUGGCGGAAUGAGACAAGUAGCGGUGAAAUGCAUAGAUAUGUCUCAGAACACCGAUUGCGAAGGCAGCUAUCUAAGCAGUAAUUGACGCUGAUGCACGAAAGCGUGGGGAUCAAACAGG